UGGGGGAUAUUGCACAAUGGGCGAAAGCCUGAUGCAGCGACGCCGCGUGGGGGAUGAAGGCCUUCAGGUUGUAAACUUCUUUUGCUCUGAACAAGGCAUGCUAAUGGGUGUGUUGAGUGUAGGGGUUGAUUAGCGCCGGCUAACUACGUGCCAGCAGCCGCGGUAAUACGUAGGGCGCGAGCGUUGUCCGGAAUUAUUGGGCGUAAAGGGCUUGUAGGUGGCUGGUUGCGUCUGUCGUGAAAGCUCAUGGCUUAACUGUGGGUUUGCGGUGGGUACGGGCUGGCUUGAGUGCAGUAGGGGAGGCUGGAAUUCCUGGUGUAGCGGUGGAAUGCGCAGAUAUCAGGAGGAAUACCGGUGGCGAAGGCGGGUCUCUGGGCUGUUACUGACACUGAGGAGCGAAAGCAUGGGGAGCGAACAGG
rnacentral:rRNA from 1 species